rnacentral:lncRNA from 1 species
GUUGUGUUGCCGCCUGGAAAGGAGACGCUGCCCUUCCCCAGCGAUGGGAUCCCGGCUUUGUGGAAUGACCUGUUAUGUGUGCCCCUGUCCUGCUGGGGAGUGGAUGGUGCCCAGGACCCAGCCAGAGACCAGCUGAAGACGUUCUCCUCGGAAGCUCUCACCCCAGGAGGUCCCGUCCCGGGUGCUGGGCCUACCAUGGCAUUCCGUAGGACUGAGGGUAUGUCCAUGAUCCAGCAAUAGAGUGUGAGAGCAAGGCCUGUGAAUCAGAUAAAGGAUCGAAGUGA